GCUAAGCCUGAGUACAAGCGACUCCUUCUAAACCCCACUUGUGGAAUUACGUAGGGUGUACCUAGUCAAUUCGAGAGAAUUGCACAAGUGAAACCAUCGCUCACAAGUUUGAUAAUGGCAUCUCGAAACCUAUAAUAAUCCUCGAUGGUAUUGUAAACUUGAUGGGAGAUCCUAGCAUAACCUGUUACCGGAUUUACCUCUCCUUCCAAUGGUGCCCUGAAAUAUAUCGGAACCUCAACCUUGAACGAAACUCUCAAAUGAGUCCUCAACUUCAA
rnacentral:misc_RNA from 1 species